rnacentral:rRNA from 1 species
UACAGAGGGCUCAAGCGUUAAUCGGAAUCACUGGGCUUAAAGGGUCCGCAGGCGGAUUGGAAAGUAUCUUGUGAAAUACCACGGCUCAACCGUGGAACUGCUCGGUAAACUUCCAAUCUUGACACGGUAGGGGCCAUCGGAACUCUAGGUGGAGCGGUGAAAUGCGUAGAUAUCUAGAGGAACGCCAGGGGGAGAGCGGAUGGCUGGGCCGUUGUUGACGCUCAGGGACGAAAGCAUGGGUAGCGAACGGGAUUAGAUACCCCGUGUC